rnacentral:rRNA from 1 species
UACGGGGGAGAGCAGUAUCGUCGAUUCACUGGGUUUAAAGGGAGCGUAGGUGGGGUGGUAAGUCAGUGGUGAAAUCUCCGGGCUUAACUCGGAAACUGCCGUUGAUACUAUCAUUCUUGAAUAUUGUGGAGGUAAGCGGAAUAUGUCAUGUAGCGGUGAAAUGCUUAGAUAUGACAUAGAACACCGAUAGCGAAGGCAGCUUGCUACACAAUUAUUGACACUGAGGCUCAAGAAGUGGCUGG